UACGUAGGUGGCAAGCGUUGUCCGGAAUUAUUGGGCGUAAAGCGCGCGCAGGCGGUCUCUUAAGUCUGAUGUGAAAGCCCACGGCUCAACCGUGGAGGGUCAUUGGAAACUGGGGGACUUGAGUACUGGAGAGGGAGAGUGGAAUUCCAUGUGUAGCGGUGAAAUGCGUAGAUAUAUGGAGGAACACCAGUGGCGAAGGCGGCUCUCUGGCCAGUAACUGACGCUGAGGCGCGAAAGCGUGGGGAGCAAACAGG
rnacentral:rRNA from 1 species